rnacentral:ribozyme from 14 species
ACACAAAAACAAAAACAAAAAACAAACAAAAACAAAAACAAAAAAAACAAGCUGAUCGGAUCUCAAUCUCCUCAUCAUCAAACCCUCCUUUCUCUUUCCCUCUUCCA